rnacentral:rRNA from 1 species
CACCUACGGGUGGCAGCAGUGGGGAAUAUUGCGCAAUGGGCGAAAGCCUGACGCAGCAACGCCGUGUGAGGGAUGAAGGCUUUCGGGUCGUAAACCUCUGUCGGAAGGGAAGAACGGGUGAGGGUCUAAUAGGCCUUCAUUUUGACGGUACCUUUAGAGGAAGCACCGGCUAACUCCGUGCCAGCAGCCGCGGUAAUACGGAGGGUGCAAGCGUUAUUCGGAAUUACUGGGCGUAAAGCGCACGUAGGCCGCUUUGUAAGUCAGGGGUGAAAUCCCACGGCUCAACCGUGGAACUGCCCUUGAAACUGCAGAGCUUGAAUCCUGGAGAGGGUGGCGGAAUUCCUGGUGUAGGAGUGAAAUCCGUAGAUAUCAGGAGGAACACCGGUGGCGAAGGCGGCCACCUGGACAGGCAUUGACGCUGAGGUGCGAAAGUGUGGGGAGCAAACAGGAUUAGAUACCCUGGUAGUCCACACCGUAAACGAUGGAUACUAGGUGUCGGGGACUUGAUCUUCGGUGCCGUAGCUAACGCGUUAAGUAUCCCGCCUGGGGAGUACGGUCGCAAGGCUGAAACUCAAAGAAAUUGACGGGGGCCCGCACAAGCGGUGGAGUAUGUGGUUUAAUUCGAUGCA